rnacentral:rRNA from 1 species
ACUCAAAUGAAUUGACGGGGACCCGCACAAGCGGUGGAUUAUGUGGAUUAAUUCGAUGCAACGCGAAAAACCUUACCUACCCUUGACAUGUACGGAACCUCGCAGAGAUGCGGGGGUGCCCGAAAGGGAGCCGUAACACAGGUGCUGCAUGGCUGUCGUCAGCUCGUGUCGUGAGAUGUUGGGUUAAGUCCCGCAACGAGCGCAACCCUUGUCGCUAAUUGCCAUCAUUAAGUUGGGCACUUUAACGAGACUGCCGGUGACAAACCGGAGGAAGGUGGGGAUGACGUCAAGUCCUCAUGGCCCUUAUGGGUAGGGCUUCACACGUAAUACAAUGGCCGGUACAGAGGGCAGCCAACCCGCGAGGGGGAGCUAAUCCCAGAAAGCCGGUCGUAGUCCGGAUUGUUCUCUGCAACUCGAGAGCAUGAAGUCGGAAUCGCUAGUAAUCGCGGAUCAGCAUGUCGCGGUGAAUACGUUCCCGGGUCUUGUACACACCGCCCGU